rnacentral:sRNA from 1 species
AUGUGAACGCUUUGAGUUAAAGAAAUAUCGGAUGUGUUUUGUGAACUGUGUCAAGUGUUAGCAAAAUGACGAAGCAAUUGGUGUCGUGCUUGCUAGUUAUACUCCAGUAACUCUUUCAAACAAACAAUAUAAUGGGAUACUCAGCAUUGCUAGGAUUACUGUGGCCGUGACAUUACCAGAGUAAAACUCUGGUAUCCUGUGCAAGAACACACUAUAAUGACUGACAAGCGCUGU